rnacentral:rRNA from 1 species
UACGUAGGUGGCAAGCGUUGUCCGGAAUUAUUGGGCGUAAAGCGCGCGCAGGCGGUUAUGUAAGUCUGAUGUUAAAGCCCGGGGCUCAACCUCGGGUCGCAUUGGAAACUGUGUAACUUGAGUGCAGAAGAGGAAAGUGGUAUUCCACGUGUAGCGGGGAAAUGCGUAGAUAUGUGGAGGAACACCAGUGGCGAAGGCGACUUUCUGGUCUGUAACUGACGCUGAGGCGCGAACGCGUGGGGAGCAAACAGG